CAUGUGACUCAAUCGUGUCAUCGUGACCUUAACAGCCAUAGCCAGAUAACACGUGGGAGUGACCUACUCCCUUGGAAUGCACAGUGGCACGUUAUCAGGAAAAAUGAUAUUCCCUUCAUCACUCCUGUUAUAUAUUUAAUGCCUAUCAGAUGUUCUUGAACACCCAUGGUAGGACGACCCCCUGUCUGGGCUUCCACAUGUCUCUUCUUCGCGCGCUCGUCGGGAACACUCAGGUGACUAGGAGGACUGGAGGACCGAAGACCAAGCCUCCUUCCCGACGACUGACCGAACACCUCUGUUUAGAGCGAUAGAGGACCACAGAUGGCUGCGCAGAGAAGAUCAGGACUUGAGGUCCUGACGGCUAUAGCCCGUGAAAGCCACAUUUAACAAAAACAGAGUUGAAAUGGUGUAUGGUUGAGUGGUCGUGUGAAUGUGGCUCUCCCGGCAAUGGGCAUGGUUGAGUGAUCGUGUGAAUGUGGCUCUCCCGGCAAUGGUCAUGGUUGAGUGAUCGUGUGAAUGUGGCUCUCCCGGCAAUGGUCAUGGUUGAGUGGUCGUGUGAAUGUGGCUCUCCCGGCAAUGGGCAUGGUUGAGUGGUCGUGUGAAUGUGGUUCUCCUGGCAAUGGGCAUGGUUGAGUGGUCGUGUGAAUGUGGCUCUCCCGGCAAUGGGCAUGGUUGAGUGAUCGUGUUAAUGUGGCUCUCCCGGCAAUGCGCAAUGCGCUAUUAGCUAAACCAUGUUACCGUAAAUAAUGUGAAAUAUUCAGUAUGUAAAAUCUAGAAAUCCAGUUGAAUUGUUCGUGGAGAAAAGUCCAGAUCACGGAAACAAGCUGCCUCACAUAGGCAUUCAAACACCUUUUACGAAA